rnacentral:rRNA from 1 species
UCGAACGAGAAAGUGGAGCAAUCCAUGAGUAAAGUGGCGCACGGGUGAGUAACACGUGACUAACCUACCCUUGAGUGGGGGAUAACCUAGAGAAAUCUGGGCUAAUACCGCAUAAUACCUACGGGUCAAAGGAGCAAUUCGCUUUAGGAGGGGGUCGCGGCCGAUUAGUUAGUUGGCGGGGUAAUGGCCCACCAAGACAGUGAUCGGUAUCCGGCCUGAGAGGGCGCACGGACACACUGGAACUGAAACACGGUCCANACUCCUACGGGAGGCAGCAGUGGGGAGUUUUGCGCAAUGGGGGAAACCCUGACGCAGCAACGCCGCGUGGAGGAUGAAGCCCCUUGGGGCGUAAACUCCUUUCGAUCGGGAAGAUAAUGACGGUACCGAGAGAAGAAGCCCCGGCUAACUUCGUGCCAGCAGCCGCGGUAAUACGAAGGGGGCGAGCGUUGUUCGGAAUUAUUGGGCGUAAAGGGUGCGUA